AUUGAACGCUGGCGGCAGGCCUAACACAUGCAAGUCGAGCGGAUGAAGGGAGCUUGCUCCUGGAUUCAGCGGCGGACGGGUGAGUAAUGCCUAGGAAUCUGCCUGGUAGUGGGGGAUAACGUCCGGAAACGGGCGCUAAUACCGCAUACGUCCUGAGGGAGAAAGUGGGGGAUCUUCGGACCUCACGCUAUCAGAUGAGCCUCGGGCGGAUUAGCUAGUUGGUGGGGUAAAGGCCUACCAAGGCGACGAUCCGUAACUGGUCUGAGAGGAUGAUCAGUCACACUGGAACUGAGACACGGUCCAGACUCCUACGGGAGGCAGCAGUGGGGAAUAUUGGACAAUGGGCGAAAGCCUGAUCCAGCCAUGCCGCGUGUGUGAAGAAGGUCUUCGGAUUGUAAAGCACUUUAAGUUGGGAGGAAGGGCAGUAAGUUAAUACCUUGCUGUUUUGACGUUACCAACAGAAUAAGCACCGGCUAACUUCGUG
rnacentral:rRNA from 1 species